rnacentral:lncRNA from 1 species
AUUUGUAAUGGGACCUUCUAUGAAUCUUUGUACUUUGUAAUUUGUUUGGCUCUCGUAUGAAUCUUUCCUUUUUGGUAUCUUCUUCUUCUUUGUAGCCAUUCACUAUUUCUUGUUUGGUUUUUUUUUUUUUUAAAUGUUGUGUGUUGCUCAUAAAUUCUCUGUUGCUAUUGCGCAAUGAUAUUUCUCGAAUCAGAUUAUUCUCUGAAUGACAACUAGGCCCGUAAUCUUGGUUGGUGCUCUACACCCCCAUGUUCGUCAGAAUGUUCGGACUCGUGGUUCAACCAUGGAAAUUUUGGCUGAUUCUCUGGACAAAAUAUUUGUCUGCGCAGACUCGGGACCUCGUUCUGCGCUGACUGGGGACCUGGAUCAUCGUGUUUUAAACCUUGCAGUUAAUGCCUCAACCGCUACCAUUGAUAUCCUCGUAUUGCCUUAGACUUUGCAAUUCACAUCUUGUAUUGUGCAGUUAAUGUCUUAGACAUUGCAAUUUAUAGCUUAGCGUAUGCAAUUAAUGCCCUUAUUUCGUGAUUAAUGCUCUUGUGGUCAUCGUCCCAUAUUCUUAUUUGUUG